rnacentral:rRNA from 1 species
AGAUUGAACGCUGGCGGCAUGCCUUACACAUGCAAGUCGAACGGCAGCACGGGGGCAACCCUGGUGGCGAGUGGCGAACGGGUGAGUAACAUAUCGGAACGUGCCCUGGAGUGGGGGAUAACUAGUCGAAAGACUAGCUAAUACCGCAUACGAUCUACGGAUGAAAGUGGGGGAUCGCAAGACCUCAUCGCUCGUGG